rnacentral:rRNA from 1 species
GCGAGCGAAACGAAAACAGUUCAUCACUAAGUCAUUUUGUCUUUAUGGCAAAUAUGAGAUGCAGUGUACGGAACAUCUAUAAUCCAGUAUGAGAAAUUAACGGUUUAAGUCCUUCUUAAAUGAGGCCAUUUACCCAUAGAGGGUGCUAGGCCCGUAUAACGUUAAUGAUUACUGGAAGAUGAUUCCAAAGAGUCGUGUUGCUUGAUAGUGCAGCACUAAGUGGGUGGUAAACUCCAUCUAAAGCUAAAUAAAACCAUGAGACCGAUAGUAAACAAGUACCGUGAGGGAAAGUUGAAAAGAACUCUGAAUAGAGAGUUAAAUAGUACGUGAAACUGCUUAGAGGUUAAGCCCGAUGAACCUGAAUAUCCAUUAUAGAAAAUACAGCAUUAUGAACAUAAUAUUUUAAUCAUAUUAUGGGAAUAGUGUGCAUUUUUUCUAUAUUUGGACAUUGUAAUCUAUCAACAUGAAUACAUAUUUAUCAUAGAAUCAUUAAGAUUUAAGUUUAUUCAAAUUAAUAUACUGUUUGUGUAUUAAUGUCGAAUAAGUUCUUAUGAUUUGAUAAAGUGUUGAUAGUUCAAUAAUAUGUAUAGUGCUUAAAUUCUUAAAGAAUUUUGUAGUGGCAUGAUUAUCAUUUAUGAUUUUUUAUGCUUACUCUACAUGCACUUAUACGAUUAACAAUGCGAUAGAUUCA